AAACUAUAAAUACAUAUCUGCCCUAUAUUUGCAUUUUAUAAGACAUAGGAACAGUUGUGAAAUCAAACUGGAAAUACUAAGACUUCAAAGGGCCCCAAAACCUGUAAAUUAUAAUAUUAAGGAGCUGGAAUCAUCAAAAAUUCCAUCAUAAACUGAAUUCACCUACUGAUAUACUAAGACAAGUGGGAGAAUUAACAUUGAUUUGGGACCAUAAGGUUAAGGGAGUGAAACAAACAGCCCUAGUUUAACAGCCAAUUUACUAAGUUACAUAUUUAUCCAUGCAGACAGAGUCAGGCUAAACAGCAGGUUCCCCAAAAUCUGAUGGCAACGUGAACAUGGCAGGCAAAAGCCAUUCCUUGCCCUAAGAAAGCCGGGUUUUCUCAGUCAGGACCUACGUGCCCUUCCAACACCCCCUUCAGAUCCUCUCCUCUUUCUAUGAAAGAUUUGAGGGGCAACAGAGGGCUCCAGAAUUUAACUUGGAUCCCACUAGAAAUAAGUUUAGUGAUUUUUAAGUUUCCAAGCUAGACUCCUAAAGUCUUUUUAUCCUAGAUCAUAAGUAGAGUACUUCUAAAUAUUCCCUGUGGAAAGAUACAAUCUGAGUUCCAAGUAAACAUUUUAGAAAAAUAACAUUUGCCAUCAAUCUAUUCUUAAACCAGAAAGAGCUCUACAAUCUAUUUUUCCUCAUCAACCUCCCUUGUUCGGUUUCUCUUUUAAUAUAAUAAAGUCCAAAAUUUGUCGUACGUAGGCAGUUGUUCUUGGAUUGGGGCUCACUUAGUAGACUUUUGCAGGGCAGCAUUUCACCUGCAGACUGAGUCUGAACCACCACAGGAAUGUCCACGGUGACAUCACCACGGCAGUGAUGGAAGCAUCCAUUAUUACCACCCUGAUGCCAGCAUAAAGCACAGGUUAGAGAGGCUAUGGAUGUAGGGAGGGAGGUUGUUGGAUGUGCCUCCCCUGCAGGUAUUUGAAUACAAGACAAUGAAGGCCUGAAACAAAGGACUGGGAUUUGGGGCAAGGACAUGUUUGUUGGCAACUAGUGGAGUUCUUCAAAGGGACUGUAAUGGCUGAGCCCAAAGCAGAGAGAUACACUUGUCUACCAUUUGGCACCUCAAGUUUAUAACCUUGUGGGAUGAAUACACUAGCAUGUGCCUGUGAGCCCCAUCCUUGAGGGGCAAAGGAGAGCUCAGUAUCUUAUUUCUUUAUUAUCGUCAUCCAGACUAAUUUCAAGUGAGUAUUUACUUAACCACUUUAAUUCAAUUUGACUGUACUUAUGGCAUUCAAUCCAACACAUAUUUAUUAAGCUCCUCUAUCAGAAGGAUUCUGACACCUUUCGUUCCUUUCACAGGAUAUCCAAGCUCUUCUUGCAACAUAACCCUCAUGUCUUGCUAUAUCACUAACUAAAAGACCCAAGUGUCAACUAUAAAGAUUUUUGUUGCUUGAGCUCAUUUCUGAAAAUGUACAGUAAGCCAGUAUCUUAUCCUUGAUAAAAAUAUUCCCUCCAUGAUGGGAACAUUAAUUUUAUGUGGCAAUUUGGCUGGGCCAUAGUUCCAGAUAUGUAGCUAAACAUUAUUCUGGACAUUUCUGUGAAUAAAUUUCUAUAUGAAGUCAAUAUUUAAAUCAAUGGAUUUUUAGUAAAAUAGAUUGCCUUCCAAAACAUGAGGGAGCCUUCUCCAAUCAGUCAAAGCCCUGAACAGAAUUUUAAAAAAGGCUGACGUCCCCAAGCAAGAGGGUAUGCUGCACUGGACAGUUUUCAGGAUUGAAAGCCUGAGUCCCUUUCCUGUUGGCCCACCCUACAGAUUUCGGCCUUAUGUGCCUCCAUAGCCAUGCAACCCAAUUCUUCAGAAUAAACCUUUUUCUAUGCAUAUCCACAUCCUAUUGGUUCUAUUUCUCUGGAGAAUCCUAAUACAUCCCCAUUCACCACCCAGGGUGUUGAAGAAGAAAGGAUAGGAGAGGAAGUCUUGGACAGGGCUUGGAGUUUUUUGGAGGAGUGAUUAAAUGCCUUUCUGGGGAAGGGCUAAAGGUAUGUUUCAUGAUGGGCCACUGUGAAAACCAGGGGAGAAAGGUGGACCUCUUGUGAUACUGUCCCAGAAAUAGUUUAGGAAAUGAUUUGGGGCCUCUAAGAAGGCAUCAAGAUUCAAUGCAAUUUGAUCAAUUGAUUUAAAAUAUGUUGAAGUUUUAUUUUUAGGCUCCAUGGUGUUAUGGCCUAUAUCUAGAUGUCCCCAUAACGCCUCGUGCACUCAUAGAUGGGGCUUUGGGGAGGUGACUGGGUCAUGAGUGUGACAGUGGAUUAGUCUACUGAUGGAUUUAUAGCUGGAUGCAAUAUUUGGAGGCCAAUGCUGAGGAUUUAGUUCAGUGGUGCUGAUGCCUGCCUCGAAAGCACAAAGUCCUGAGUUCGAUCUCUGGUACCAAAAUAUAUAUAUAUAUAUUGGAAGGCCAAGCCUGGUGGGAACAGGUGGGUCACUUUGGGCAUGGUCACCAUUGGCAUGGCCUGGGUAUAUCUCCUUCCUCCUCCCUUAAUCCACCUCUGCUUCCUGCCUGCCAUGCCAUGGACUGUUUCUCCUCCACCAUACCUUUCUACCAUGCUGCCUUGCCUUGGAGUCAGCCAACUAUGGACUAAAAUCUCUACCAACUGUGAGGCAAAAGAAACCUCUCCUCCUUUAACUUGUGGGGGUCAGGUAUUUUGUUCCAGCAAUGAGAAAAUAACUAAAACACGGGGUAAAUUUUUGGCCCAUUUCUCUGUGCUGAUUUUUUGAGACCAGAGGGGGCUAGAGGACUGCUUGCUCCACAUUAAAUCCAUGUUAUCAUAUUGGUGAUAAGUACAGGGUCUACCCUGCUUGUCCACUGUUGACCCCAGUCCUUAUUUCUUAUAAAGCAAGUAAGCCUGCCUUCCCUCUUAGGGUCCAGGCAGGGAUGCCCCAGUUUAUGCAGUGAUGGGCUCCAGCAAAUGUGUGUGAUGCAAACCUUUGUGAGUCACUCUAUAUUCUGAAGACAUAUCAGAGGAGAUGGCUAUUUCAAGGAAACUUUACAAGUGGCACUCCUUAAUGUCACAAGCCAUCCUGAUUUAAGAUCAUAACCUCUCUGUAAUUUAUUAGCUUAUGAAAUUCCUUUCCUGCCUAAGAGGUUUAAUUAAAAUAAGACAAAACUAUAUUAAUAACAUUCAGUUGCCUGAAAGAGUUAUUGCAGAAAUCCUUAUGGUAUUACAAGAAAGUAUUUUAAUAUCCCAAAUAAAUGUCAAGUUCCCCAAAUCAAACUGAUAGGCAAAUUAAUGAGGGGUAAAUGUCACUAUUAUCCAUAUUUCCCCAUAUUUUUAGAAAAGAAAACAUUCACACAGCGAAGGGAAUCAGAAUCUGUUUUUAUAUCCCUAGAGUUAUAAACAUUUGUAUCAAAAUAUUUACAAUUAUAGUAUAUGAAAUAAUCUAUUAAUGAAGAAGCCAAAUACAGUACUAGAACAUCCCACUAAUGUAAUGCAAAUUACAUGAGACAUAAAUGUCACAGAAGAAAAAGUAAAAGACAAGGGAAUAUAUG